ACUUGCUUGAUCAACAGGAAGGUGUUUUGGAGGAUGGGUAAUGGAGAUCAGCAGCAGAGACCUGUCUCUGGAUGUCUGGGAGAGGGUACACUGCUUGCCACCCUGAGCCCAGGACAGCCUAUGGAGGAAGGUCUGGAUGGAUGCUCUCUCAAGUUCAGGAAAGCCCUGUCUCUACCUCCCCUGUCUGUGGCUCUUCCUUUGUCCUCUUACACCAUCCUCCAGGAUCAUCCGUACCCUGUAGCCAUACCCUGCUCCCUCAUAGCCAGCCAGGCUCUGCUGACUCCAGGAAGGCCCAAGGGUAUAUCAUCUUUCUUUGGGCUCCGACUCUUCUGUCCCCUCCACAGGAGCAUCCAGGAGAGCAAACAAGUGGCUCUUAAACAUUUCCACACUGAAAAGGAAGGACUCUCUCAAACAGGAUCGAGGAUGGUGCUCUGGGAAGGAGCCACUGUGCUCUGUUCCUCCAGGAUCUUUCCAAUAGGAUGCUGCUGGGCAUGAGCCCCUGUGCACCAUCCUCUGGACCUACGGAGCACUGACAUUCACAGUUUCAUCCUGAAAGGGGGGCAGUAGAUAUCUUCUCCAUAUCCACCCUUUGCACUGGCCAACCAGACAUCUAAGGGAUGUUUCUAGAAGGGCCCCAGGGGAACUGGAAACACCCCUCCUGCAGGUUCACUGUCCCUGCAAUCAUAAACCACCCUAGUCCUUACUACCAUAGUGCAACUUUUUCUGGAGGCUUCCAGGAAGGUAUAAACGUGGCAGUGAUUGUGGUUUAACUCGAGCCUCUCCCAAAGGACUUAUGAAAUACUCAGAAGAAACCAUUAAAGAUCACUCCACACUCCGGCCUCUGGCCUCAGAUUCCCAAACUGCACUUCAGCCUCCCAGACUGCCCCUCUCUUGAAAGUCUGCCUUGAGACCUCUGAUUUUGCAAAUCAGUCACCUCACAUGGCCAUGACCAGUAGUGGACAUUAAUUGGGUUGGACAGGGGACAAAGGCAUCUACAGAAGCAGCAUCCAGCAAACACUGGGGAUACAUCAGAGUCUGCCAAUCAUCUUCCAUGGAGCAGCAGUGGAGGCCACACCCCUCCCACAGGCCCCACCCACUGCACCUCCCAUCGGGUGCUCUUAGAAUGUGUCAUAGCCUUGAUUAAUAAGGAUGACGAGCCUCUGCUUUGUCACCCUCUCAGCACCCCUCUUUCCUUGGCCUCCCUGUGUGCGUGUCCUCUGACCAUUUCCUGUGGCACUGCCCAGUGGGUACACGUGGAGGGUGGUGCACUUCUUGGCAUAUGGGACAAAUAUUUCCUUCUUGGUCUUCUGUCUUUCAAUUUUGUUAAUAGUCCCUUCUCCCAAGUCACCCUAUGAAACCCAGGCUGGCCUGAACCUUCAGUUCCAGUCUCCCAAGUCCUAGAAAGCUUCCAUGUGCAUUAUUUAAUAGAUUCUUUUAAA